UUUCCGUAGGUGAACCUGCGGAAGGAUCAUUCAUAAUAAGUGUUCUACUGCACUUUUUAAAAAUAGUACUCACCUUGUGUGCAAUGUUUGUUGAACUCUCUCGGGAGUUUGACACUUAUACCAACCUUUUUAUUUUGAACCAUUUUUGUCUGAAAAACAUUUAUGAAUACUUAAUUCUAAAUACAACUUUCAACAACGGAUCUCUUGGCUCUC
rnacentral:misc_RNA from 1 species